UACGGAAGGUGCAAGCGUUAAUCGGAAUCACUGGGCGUAAAGCGCUCGUAGGUUGCUUUGUAAGUCAGGUGUGAAAUCCCACGGCUCAACCGUGGAAUUGCACUUGAUACUGCAUUGCUUGAGUUCGGGAGAGGGUAGUGGAAUUCCAGGUGUAGGAGUGAAAUCCGUAGAGAUCUGGAGGAACACCGGUGGCGAAGGCGACUACCUGGACCGAUACUGACACUGAGGAGCGAAAGCGUGGGGAGCAAACAGGAUUAGAUACCCCCGUAGUCC
rnacentral:rRNA from 1 species